ACUACCACCACCACCAUUACUAUUUUGCCCAGAGAGACUAGUACCACAUAUGUAGCCUUCAGGAAGAUGUAUUUGUAAUAUAUUUGUGACAAGAUUCCCUUGAUCUCAGCUAUGAAAACACAAACUCAGUGAAUUCUUGACCACCAAAUGCUUCUGCUUAAGAUGUUUCCAUAGUAUUAAGGCUGUCAGCCGAAGACUCACUAGAUAUUUACUUAAGUUUUAUUUACAUUAGAAUGACUCGUUUGAGGUGUUUGAACAAUUGUGCAUGCAGGACCUUAGGAUUAGAGAAAGGACUCACAUUUGAUGUAUACGACGAUCUCUGGGGGGAAAUGGUGUCAAUUUCUCACUGUCUAAAGGUAGAGUAGUGGUUUUGUGCCGAGUAUUGGUACAGAGUACAGCUGUUGUGUUUCUUUGGCCUGGCUUCCUUCCCGAUCAGGCCACAUGACUGGACAGUCACUCUGCCCUUGUGCUUCGGUCCCAGUGUUUUUACAAUAAGGUUUUUGUAUUAGAAGCAGGUGACCUCAGAGAUGCCUGCUUUUAAGGUUUUGCAAUGCAGCUGGAGAGGCAGAACCUGUGGUAUUUGUAUAGCUAAUUCCUUUAUUUGGAGAGGGUUUUUCUUAGGGGAAAGCUCUUCCUUAAAACAAAGGUGCCUUUUCAAACUCUAGUCCUAUUUAAAGCUCCACCGAUGAUUUGGAAUUUGGUCCCUUGAAUGAACAAUACGGCUUUCACAAGUGGGGGGACGAUGAAUCUAAAUCUCAAAGAGCCAGUGUGGGGUCACCCGCUAGCUGGGUGAGGACAUCAGAGACUCAGUUCCUUUACCCACAACAAUAAUAAUGGUUACUGACCACUGGCACCGACAAUUUAUCAGAGUCAGAAGAUAGUAAAUGUGAUAAUAUUGCAUGCAUACCUGGCCUGCAACAGGCACUGUGAAAGGUUCAUUGAACUUUGCCCUGGAAGUGGAAACUGCAGGUAUUUCCUUGCUUCUUGUCCACAGUGCUGCUUUAUGGCGUUUUCUUUUUCUUUUGUACAAACCAGCCUUCUCCCUUCUAGGUUUCUUAUUCUCAUGAUUAUUUGAUCACACAAAAGUAGCUCCGCCCCUAUAGCUCCACCCCCCAAAGCAAGUAGCUCCGCCCCCAUAGCUCCACCCCCAAAGCGCGGGGCUCUGUGGUAAGCCCUUCUUUCUUGUGCACUGAGUGACUGUAUUCAUCCAUGCUGACCGAGAGCCCCCAUCCUGAGCAGCCUUGCAGUGCGAACGCCAGAAACGGAGAGGUUGCUCCUGUGAGGUCCCUGGUCACAUCGAUACUGAAAUCCCUGACUCAGCAAGAGAGUAAACAACUGAGUGACUAGUAGGAAGUCGCAUUCUGACGUACACACAAAGCUCUUCGUCACUGGCUUUUGACUCAAGUUUGUGGUAGUCUCUGGGUUCCGUUGACAUGAACCCAGCCUCCGGAAGGAGGAAAACACGACCCUGCCUCCAGCGAGUACAAGGCCCAGGCUGCACUCUUAAAUUCUUUCACAAGAAUCUGAAUGGAAUUGAUCCAUCCCCAGUCACUCCAGGAGGUUGAGCGUUCAGUUCACUGCUGUCCUUGAACUCAGAAGUCCUUCUUCCUCAACCUCCCACGAGCUGGGAUCCAGCAUGGGCAGGAAAAGAUGCAAUGGAGAGGCUGAGCCAAUACGAAUGAGGGGCUGACAGGAGCUACUUUACAUAUUUCAUUGAGAAAUUAACAACAGAAGAGGCUCUUCCUGGAGACUUGCAUUCCACUGCUCUGUGUAAGCCACUGCUCUUCUGGAGGAAGCAUUCGGCUGAGCUGUGAGUCCAGCAAGGCAAAUGUCUUUGAUGGCACUGCGGAUUUCUGCUACCUGAGCCUCCAGGUUAUGGAUCAGACUCUGGAUUUGGGCCAGCAGGGCUGUGUAUCGGGCCUCUGUCUCUGCUAGGAUGCAUUCCUGGGAAUCUCUCUGUGGAAGAGGAGGGAAACAGAUUCUAAGAUGACUCCUUUAAAAUUCCCAGAAGGCCAUUGUAAAAGACAUUUUAAACAAUAACUUCUCUGUGACAGUACUAAGAGUUCUCUAAGUCCUUUAUUACUUCCUAACCAAAUAAACCCAAAACAAAAAUGA
rnacentral:sRNA from 1 species